CACAAGUGUAGAAAAGUGAAUUGCUAGUAAUAUAUGUCUUGGUCAUAUCAUCUUUGUCAGGAAGAAUAACCCACUGAGGCAUACAGAUAUUUCUGAAAUCCACCUGCUUCCAGGAUGGACUAUGUUUGAUAAGCAUGUUUAACUAUGUUUCUUAAAGAAAGUUUUAUUGUUAGAAGCACAAAUGUUUAAUAAAAUUAUUCUAUUUGUUUCCAGGGUCAAAAAAGGAAAGCCUUAAACUGCAGCAUGGAAUACCAGAAAUUCACUAUCUUGUUCCUACAGGAGACUAAAAUAAAUUCUGAUGUAGGCAUAGAUUUUCGAAGUGUUAUGGGCUGAAUUACAUUAACUCCAGUACCUCAGAAUAUGACUUUUAUUUGGACAAAGGGCCUUUAAAUAGAAUUGAUGUUACAAUAAAAAAUGAAACUUUGGAGGAGGACUCAAGAUGACGCUGUGAGGACAACCCAGGAUUGGAGCUCUCCUUGAAUCCGCAGAGAGGAGUGUGCCACAUUAUCACUGUUAUAAAUGGUGUUUGUCAUAAUCAAGGACUCAUGAAGAACCUAUGAAAGAAGUUAACUAAGAAUGACCUCUGCCUGCCUCUAGGGAAAGCAAACCAUGCCAAUCUACAAGAAGAUGAUGUGCUUGUCGGUAUUACAAGCUUUUAUGAUUCUCGUGGUCAAUAGCCUAGUGAUUAAAAUGUGCAUUCUUGACUUACUAAAAGGUAAGACUUUUUCUACUUCUUAGACAUCGCAAGAUCAUAAAAGACUUUGUCUGUUUGUAUCCUAUUGUUUUUACUACUAUUUAUGUGGAUUUUAUUCCUCUGUAUAUUUUAAACCCUAAAGACAUUAUUAUCUUUCCAGA
rnacentral:lncRNA from 13 species